AACUGGACGAGCAUGAAACCAAAAUAAUAGCAAAACAGAAUGCCGCAUCUUCCCUUAUAAAUGAGAGUCCUUUCUAAAAGUACUCCUGCCUUGAUUCAAUAAAAAUAUGUAGCUUGAAUAUUUCUUCAUAAACUGCGUUAAGGGUCGAAAAUUCUUGGAAGUUAUCCGCAAAAAACACAACUUGAAAGUUUAUGCAAAUUAUGUGCAAUGCAAUUUGAGCCUAGUCACGGGACUGUUGUUUCGCGAAGGAGUUUAUCAUGAUUCGUUUUGGCUCUCUCGAAAGGGAUUAUUCGCUCUCCAAAGGGGAUAUGACUCUUGAAAAGGGUUUAAGAUCGCAACACGGCAAAGAUGUUCAGCUAUACAAUUUACUCGGAUCGCCACGACCAGCAAACAAACUUCGUACAAUUUCUCCUAGCUUGUACAAAGCAAUCGCCAUAAGUUGUAAGAAGACCUCGAAAAUUCUAUGGAAACAACUUCUCCAUCAACGCGUAGGCAGCUGUGCUUCAUUCUUGAACCAAAAUGGUUUAAACUCACAACUUACGAUAGGAUGAGGAGGAUACUCGACGAAGCAACUUUAAUUGUAAAUAUCUAAGCGGAACUCUUGUACUAAAAUAUCCUGAUUCUUUAAUUUGCUUUUAUUGCGUCCAAUAUGCGUUUUCGUAAAGUACGAUUUGAUACUGUGGUACGAAGGCCGAACAAACGCUCUGAGAGCGUCUAGUUUGAUAUUACGGUAAAUUAAAUUUUUAGGCCAUUUGACGAUUAACCGCAUAGAGACAAUGGUCCACCCCGAGUAUAAAUUGUUAUGACUUUUGGCACGUUUAUGCAUGUGAAGCUUUUGUUUUAACUGCAGCUUAAUAUUGACCUAUCGUGACUAUAAGUCAUUCAAGUUGCAUCAAGCGCAGCAUGUAGGCAGAUCAUAUAAUGCUUUACCAGCACAUUUUUACUUUCAGUUUCGUUGAUUUGUAAUUUGCAUUCAGAACUUUACCAAACGAAAUAAGGAAAACUUGAAAAACUCUGGAGUGCCCUGAGAUUUAACACAGACCGAUUCAUGACAGGAACAUCAUCCAGUUCUAAGAAGUUCUGCCCGCUUGCCGCAUCCUUUACAGCCCACAAUUGAUUUCACGGUGCACACUGACUAAGAAAUACCUUCAGACUUUCUUAGAGUUGCCAUAAUAUAAAGGUAAGCCUUAUUUUAUGAAGUUGCGGCGAUUUGUUGCAGAGAACGUCUGAUAGAAACAGUGUCUUUGGGCAGCAUGUAAAUGUCCCUUGAAAUUAUUAAUGCACAUACGAGAAAUUUAAAUGAUAUACAUAAGACCAGCGAUAAGCACUACUCGAGUACUGCGAAUUUCCAUGUAAAUGUUAAAAAUAGUGUCUAUUUACAACUGUAACUUAAAUGGUACACUUCAACCAGUGAUUAUUGCUUUUCGCGCGCUCCUAUUGGACACUCAAACUACGCCUAUCCUUCGCCAUUCACCUUCGAGCAAAACAAAAUGACUUCCCGUUUUGCUUUUGUGACAGAAGGAGAGUUUUUAAAUAAGGGAUGUUUUCUAUGAUGGGAUGUGGGUUUUGCAGUGCCAAUACGUGGCCUGCGUUGAAAGCGUAAAUGGAGAGGGAGUUAGGGAGGCAAAAGACGCCAGGAAGUUCCAUCUCCACUCUCUUCUCCCCUCUCCCCCGUUUUAUGCCUGCUACCCAGCCUAAAAUACAUGACACUCUAAUCGUGUUACUCAUAUAAUUGUAGUUUUUUAACAUUUAUUUUCUUCAGAAAGAACUUUACAUUACUUACGAUAUAGUACAUCACCUAUAAAAUUGUUAAAAAUAUUGGAUUCGUUUACGAUCAAGUUUUCUUUCGAGUCUGUCCUCUUGUUAACAAUGAAUGUCGUCAAGACUGCGUCGACGCAUGAAUUGAUCGUACAUAAAUGAAGGCAGAAACACUACCGUUAUCUUGUAACAUUGUAUUCAGCUGAACGUUAACUGAGGAAAAUUGAAACAUCGUUUUCCUUCGUUCCUUUAACAAGAUCUAACAAUAGCUUUCACACUCCAAACAGAUUUACUCUGGUACUUUCAAUACCUAAGGAUGAAAGACAAAUAAUUUCCCUCCUGACAAAACAAAACAAAACAAAACAAAACAAAAAAAACAACAACA